GGUGUGGACAACCAACAAUAUCAAAUGGGCAGGCAACUGUCACUUCUCGGAUAGCCCGCUUCAAUUGCAACAGUGGCUUUAGAUUGGUUGGUAUGCCAUUCUCGGUGUGUGCCAAUGGGACAUGGAUGUUCAAGAGAGCAUGCAUACCUUUGAGAGCAGGUGAACUGCCAGGUCCCAAGAUUUCAAUUCACCUAUAUCCGUCAGCUGUCCGUA